CUGCGUUCCCGCCGUACUUCCUGUGUUCCUCCACCGUGUCUUUCCCUCCGGAAAACGCAUGCUUGUUAAUCUGUAGGGAAUAAUCAGAGUGAACUCUGGUGCGGUUUAAAUGCAAGCACAUAGGAGAACGCUCCAAAAGCAGGAAGUGGACUAAAACGCAGGGAAUUCUGGAUUUUGAAAGAAAGGAAGUUGCGCUCAGUGUCUUCUUCAGUGCUUCUUGAUACAGCGCCCCCACAGGCCAGGAGGGGAUGCAGAUUUUUCAAUUAGUUUGGUUCGUUUGAUGCAGUGUGAAAUCAAACCGCAGCAGCUAAAAAUGUAACAAAUGUUCCACUGAUACCAGACGAUCAGAUGAAAACGGCCUAAAUGACCUUGUUCUUGAUCUGCUUCGGCGUGUCAGUGAGGAAUAUGGAGGAGUUAGCGUCGCUGGCGCUCAUCUUCGUUUGCGCCCCCUGCAGGGCAGGGAAGAAGGUGGAGUGCAGCAGGGCUGGU